ensembl:lncRNA
CCAACAGAGAUCCCUUGUCUUCUCUCCCAGGAAAGGCAGGCAGCCUCACUCCUGAGCAGGACGCAGGUGCGACGGGCCGAAGAGGCAAAGUGGAGACCUGAGACUUGGGGACGCCAGGCUCGGCUGAAGGCAGAGCCACAGUGCAAACAAGGAAUCCAGUAGAAGUCUGCGUGCUGACCAUCCGUCCUGGGCUUCCCUCCCCCACUGCAGUGGCACCACUCAAUCAGGAGGCUCUUCAGCCAGCGCCUGUCCCCUCUGCCUGAUAACGGGGGACCUGGCUUCAGGAUCAGACCCCUGCUCCUUACCUCUUGCUCGCCUGGCCGCUCCAGAGCCUGCCUCGCUGGUGGGAAGAAUAUUGAAGACGUCCCUGUCCCCGCCACCCCCGGCUGAAUCUAGAAGGCAGAAGAGGCUGGCAGUGAGCGAGGAGGCUCACGUGGCCAUGGCAUUGCGUGUGCCCCUAAUUGAGGGCAUGCGUCGGGCACAGAAUUGGCUCGGGGCCGGGCCUCCCGUCCACCCUCAGCUACGUGGCUUGGCCAGAGUUGGCUGUGGGGCUUCUGGGAAGAGUUGAGUUUCCUCGAAGAGUGAGCCACGGGAAGAGGCCCCAGACUAACCAGUCUGUCUUCUCCGCCUGAACUUCGCCGUGCCCGGACGGACGCCUGCUCUCUGUGCCUUCUCGCUCCCCGAUGAGCCCGCCCGGGCACGGCAGGGGGACAAGACGGGCAGAACCCAUCCCCACAAGCAGACGAGGGCCCCAAGUCCAGCCACGACAGGACACGUUCCCCGGCUGGGUCAGGAGCCCUGAUCCGGCAGGCUGUCCCACGCGGCCGAAAGCGUCCCAGCCUCCUGCCUGAAUCCCACCCGCCUUUCGAGGCUGGCACACAGACCCUGCGGCUUCUGUCAAGCCUUCGAGAACUGAAGGAACUCCAUCUAGCCCAGUUAUGAUCGCCCGGACAUCCUGCUUGCCCCCCUCUUCUGCCGCGUAUCACGUGGGCUUUUGUGAUGCGGCUGUGCCUAUGCCUGUCGUCUUUCUCUGCGGGACGUUGAGACCCAUGUGAACGUUGGAGUUUGUCACGCUGCCCAGCACCCCGUCUGGCAAGGCUGGGGCCCUCUCAGGGAUCGAUAACCAGUUAUUACAUAAGGGACAAACCGAGGGUGGUGGACACCCAUCGGAAACUGGGGUGGAAUCUCAAGAUGUCCCGUCUGGAAGAGGCUUUCGAGAGGCGAGUGAGGAAACGGAGGCCCCAGAAGCGACGCACUAAGGCAGGUAAGUGUCCAGGGGGCAGGGAUUGGAUUUCUCUGGAGUCGUGAUUCCCAUAACCCGACCGGUCCCGUUCUAACCUGGUCACUCCUCGGUUAGAGUCUUGCUUUUCUGGAACCGGAAUGUUGGCUUGAUUCAUUCUGUCUCCGACUCUGGACGCAGGGAAGUGGCCUUGCACGUUUCAGCUUUUUCAUUCUUAUGGGUGCCUUUUCGGUUCCUCCCUCCCAGGUAGGAGCGAGGACCCACCCCUUCCCGUCACAAGAGCUUUAUAAUGGGGCCCACGUAGAUGGCAGGCUCCCAGGGGAGAAGUGUUAGUGGCGAUGAUACGUAUUUGGUUGUCUGUCGUGCCAUUCGCUUCUCAGUUCCACCAAGGUUUAUUGAGUAUCUACUGUGUACCAGACGCUCAGUUUAAUGAGCCAGUGGGAACUGAAAGUAUUACUGUUCACAAAGUUUUGCUAAAGGGGAAAGUGUGUUUCUCUGGAAGCCGAGAGGGAAAACUCCUCAUUGCCCUGGGGAGGGGUGUCUGUUAGAGCACCCCAGGAGAGGUGGUGAGCGUGCUGCAUAGUGUGGAGGGCUGUCCAGAUAAGAAGGGGGGGAGGGCAUACCCACACGGACGUUGGUGCCACCGAGGGCUGGGGGCUGGGCGGGCAGGGGCCUGGGAGGUCCCCGUGGCUUCGUGUCACAAAGCACGCCGGUGGAAAUGCGGAUGGAGAGGCAAGUAGAGGCAGGUGUCACACGCACAAGUUUGGAUUUUAUCCCGAGAUCACGGGGAGCCAUCCAAGGAGUUAGAGUGGGGAGGGGCACACUGGGCUUCACAAGACUUGAACGUCUCUUUGGAAAUGGGAAGCUGCCAGCAGGGGGGACCGUGAACCUCCCCGUGUCCAUCGCCCAGUUCCAGCACUGAUCACCUUAUGGCCAACUGUUGUCUCUUCUCCCUUUGCUCUCCAACUCCCUGCCUGAAAUUGUUCUAGAGCAAGUCCCAGACAGCACAUCCUUUCUUCUGUGAACGUUUUAACGUGCCUCUCUGAAAGACAAAGACACCUGAGACAUAACCACAGUAUCAUCACGCCCAAAACUUAACAAUUCCUAAACAAUACCAGUGGAUCCAGUUAGUCUUAAAUUCCCUGAUUUUCAUCUCUAUAUGAACGAACUGAUUUUCAUAUAUGUGAACAAACUGUAUGUAUUUUACAGCUUGUUUAAAUCAGAAUCCAGUAAGGUCCAUAUACUGUAGCUGGUUGACGUAUUGUACGUCUCUUGUAAUCUGUAUCCCCUUCCUCUCUCUCUCUCUCUCUCUCUCUCUCUCCUUCUCCCUUUAUAUUUCCCUGCAGCCUGUUGGUUUAAGAACGCUUUUUAUUUUUGUCCUGUAGCCUUCCCCACAGUUUAGAUACACUGCGGGCUUCCUGAUGGUGUCAUUUAACAUGCUCCUCUGUUCCCUGUAGUUCCUGUGUAUAGGGAAGUGGAUGAAAUGUAAGUGUGGCUCUUUGGGUGAAUGAACCGAACAGGUGGGACCUUGGUUCAUGGCGUGAUCUGGUCGCUCCUUGGUUAGAGUCUUGCUUUUCUGGAACCGUAACGUUGGUUUGAUUCAUUCUGUCUCCGACUCUGGACGCAGGGAAGUGGCCUUGCACGUUUCAGCUUUUUCAUUCUUACGGGUGCCUUUUCAGUUCCUCCUUCCCAGGUAGGAGCAAGGACCCAUCCCCUCCCGUAACAAGAGCUUUAUAAUGGGGCCCACGUAGAUGGCAGGCUCCCAGGGGAGAAGUGUUAGUGACGAUGAUACGUAUUUGGUUGUCUGUUUUGCCAUUCCUUUCUGGUGUGCCCGUAAUUUUUUCAUGGUGCCCUCAGCUGAAAGAAUAUCGGUUCAGUUGAUUAAUAGCAGUUCAGUUGAUUAAUUCAUCAUGGUGUAAUUAAUUAAUUUAUUUAAAAUUUAUUUUUAUUUAUUUAUUCUGAGAGAGCACUAGUAGGAGAGGGGCAGAGAGAGGAGGGGGGAGAGAGAACCCCUAGCAGGCUCCGCACCGGCAGUGGCCAAACCUGUGAGCUGGGAGAUUAUGACCUAAGUUGAAAUUGGAGGCUCAACUGGCUGAGCCGCCCAGGCACCCAAGUCGCAUGUUUUUAAACAGCUCAGUAAGUGUUUGUGUUCUAACAACCGAGUGGCCCAUUGGAAACUACUAUGUGUAAAUUAAACAAAAACAAUAUUUCCACUGCAUUCUUAGCCACAGUUUCUUACCAGUUGGGCACAGAAUAGCUUUUCACGCCUGGGGUCAUAUCCCACACUGUCAUCCUCGUUUUCUCUUUCGUGUUGAUUGUUGCGAGAUUUUACUUUUUUUUUUUGUAAUAUAAAACUUAGUUUUGGGGCGCCUGGGUGGCGCAGUCGGUUAAGCGUCCGACUUCAGCCAGGUCACGAUCUCACGGUCCGUGAGUUCGAGCCCCGCGUCAGGCUCUGGGCUGAUGGCUCGGAGCCUGGAGCCUGUUUCCGAUUCUGUGUCUCCCUCUCUCUCUGCCCCUCCCCCAUUCAUGCUCUGUCUCUCUCUGUCCCAAAAAUAAAUAAACGUUGAAAAAAAAAAUUUAUAUAAAA